rnacentral:rRNA from 1 species
AAUAUUGCACAAUGGGCGAAAGCCUGAUGCAGCAACGCCGCGUGAGCGAUGAAGGCUUUCGAGUCGUAAAGCUCUGUCCUAAGGGAAGAUAAUGACGGUACCUUAGGAGGAAGCCCCGGCUAACUACGUGCCAGCAGCCGCGGUAACACGUAGGGGGCGAGCGUUGUCCGGAAUUACUGGGCGUAAAGGGCGCGUAGGCGGCCUAAUAAGUCAGAUGUGAAACCCCCGGGCUUAACCCUGGGCUUGCAUUUGAAACUGUUGGGCUUGAGGACAGGAGAGGAAAGCGGAAUUCCCAGUGUAGCGGUGAAAUGCGUAGAUAUUGGGAGGAACACCAGUGGCGAAGGCGGCUUUCUGGACUGUAACUGACGCUGAGGCGCGAAAGCCAGGGUAGCGAAC